GCAGUUUCUAGUGGCGGGGUCUAUUGGUGGCAAAAGGCCUGGCUUGGCUCAUUUUAGGGGCAGAAAAUGGCUCAGGCUGAAUAAAGGGUCUGGGCUUCCUUUAGGAUGGAACUGGAAGGUGGAUAGGAAAUCCCCUGGGGCUUAUUGAAUUGAGUCAGGUGGCAGUCUGGUAAGAAUUCCUUUUGUGUUCCUUUGCUCUGGCUAGGGCCUGGGAUUUUAAAUAACAAAAGCUUAGGGAAAAUGUCCUUGAACUUACUAUCUGUAUCCUUCAAGCUCCAUUGCUUGUAAGGUAAAUGUUGGGCAUAUUAGACUCUGUGCUUCACUUUCUUUGAAUCUCCCCAAUACAAGUGAUAAUAGAGAAAUUAACUCUGGAUAUUUUGCUAAGGUUAAGUCAGUUAAUAGGCAUCAAGGUUUUAGAAUGUAGGAAUCUCGCAAAUUAAUUGUUAUUGAUAUUCGUAUUGCUUUCUGGGGUUUGGACUAUUCUGACUUUAAAUCUAAGGUCUGUCAUCUAUUACCUAUGAGAUCAAGCAAAUGCCAAACCUCUGAACCUCAGAGGUCCUCUUGCUGUAAGUGGGAAUAAUCAUUUCAUGUGAACAACACUUAGGGUUUUUUUUGUUUUGUUUUGUUUUGUUUUGAGGGGUGGGGGUGGGGGCACUCCGCUACUGAGCCACAUUCCUAGCUCUGUUUUGUAUUUUAUUAGAGACAAGGUGUCACUGAGUUGCUUAACAUCUCGGUAAGCUGCUGAGGCUGGCUUUGAACUUGCCAUCCUCCUGCCCCUGCUUCCUGAGCCACUGGGAUUACAGGCAUGCACCACCAAGGCAGCCCAGUACUUAGUUUUGAUUUAAUUAAUUUUCUUCUCAUAAACAAAAAUUCUGAAAGGUCAUUGUUUCUAAGCCCCAACAGACCAGACCAAACCAAAAUGAAGUUACCGGUGCUAAAUGCCACAGACACUGAAGCUUUAAGGAAGCAGAUAGAUCCCCAAACACAGCAGUCUUUCCGGAAAACAGGAGACCCUAGUGUACAGGAUCCUGCAUAAGAACUCUUCCUUCCACUUUAACCCUUACAACAAGACCUUGAGGUAAACUUGUGUUCACCAGUAUUUUCCUCUUGUUCUACAUUCUUGUUUCUACCUUUCAAAACCCAAUAUUCUGCUACUUCCCAGUGAGAGUUUUCAUUCUGUUUUGUAAGCUGGAGGCUGCCCAAUUCAUGAAUCACGAA
rnacentral:lncRNA from 1 species